rnacentral:rRNA from 1 species
CAAGACUUGACAUCGAGCGACCGGUAUUGAAAGAUACCUUUCCUUCGGGACGCGAAGACAGGUGGUGCAUGGUUGUCGUCAGCUCGUGUCGUGAGAUGUUCGGUUAAGUCCGGCAACGAGCGCAACCCCUAUGAUAUGUUGCCAAUAUUAAGUUAGGAACUCAUAUCAGACUGCCGUGGAUAACACGGAGGAAGGCGGGGAUGACGUCAAAUCAUCAUGCCCCUUACGUUUUGGGCUACACACGUGCUACAAUGGGUACUACAAAGAGCAGCGAGUUCGUAAGAAUAAGCAAAUCUCACAAAAGUAUUCUCAGUUCGGAUUGAGGGCUGCAACCCGCCCUCAUGAAGUCGGAGUUGCUAGUAAUCCCGAAUCAGAAUGUCGGGGUGAAUGCGUUCCC